rnacentral:lncRNA from 1 species
AACAGGAGCGUGUGAUUGGGGUUUACAGUGUUUUCUCUCGCUCUCUCUGUUUCUAGGGAAUUCGGGCUGUGUUUAGCUGCUGGAAUAUCGUAGAAUUGGUUUUCAGAGAAGUUCCUCGACUCCUGAGGCGAAACAUAAAGGGAUGGGAGUGGUGUGGGAAGUGAUCGUGUGGGGAAAAAAAAGUUUCGAGCCCGUUUCGCAUUUGUGGAGACAGAGUUUUUGGUGUGACCACUCUUUUGUGGGAAACCCAAACCAAGGAGAACUCAGGAGAAUUGGCGCUCUUCGGUCCUGGAGGUUCCGCAGCUAACAUCCCGGCUUGACCAACUAUCGAGGCCGCAAAUUAAUAGGGCACCUCCUGGGAGGAAAACGCCCAUCCUGACUUCUCAACUGUGACAGGUCCCCCUCACAAACGCCUUGCGGGGGGGUGGGGGGGCGUUUCUAAACACUUGCAUGUUCUUACAAGGGAAAUGUUUUUAUUCUUGGGCGCACCAAGUUGGCCGCCUCCUGAGGUGGAGUACGGACCAGUUGACAACAGGGCUCCUUUUCACCUCCACGCCCAACCUUUUCCAUUUCUCCUCAAACGGUUUUGGAGAAGGGCGGAGUCAUAUCAUUUUAAAGGAAACUUGGAACCUCACCAAUACAAACGCUGGUCGAAUGUUCCCAGAAACUUCCCUGCAUUAGCUCUACCGGGCGCGGGGAGCAGAAAGCGCAUUUCCUGAGUCCUGAAAAGCGCGUGCGCGCCUGUGUGCUGCCGGCGUUUGGGCGCGCCUGCUUGUAUGUAUGUGUUCGCGGGCGCGCGCGUGUGUACGUGUGUGUGCGCGCGUACGCGUGUAUGUUCCUGCGCGCUUGCGGGGACGUGCUUGUGGAGGGCGGAGAGAGGGAUGGGCGUGGCUAAUAUGAAAGCUGCAUCUUUACUAGUUAGCUACCAUGCGUCAUUAUUUAUCAAAAGAUAUAUGCUGCUUAAACACAAAUACGUUUUAAAAUAUAUUUUAGGCAGUAGGGUUUUGGGUUUUUUUUUUGCAAGUUCUUUUGGUGAGUAAAUUUAGUGAUAAAUGAUUUUUUUUUCUUUUGAGACAGUUUGCUCUGUCGCCCAGGAUGGAGUGCAGUGCAGUGGCGCGAUCCUGCAACCUCCGCCUCUCGAGUUCAAGCGAUUCUCCUGCCUCAGCCUCCCGAGUAGCUGGGAUUACAGACGCGCGCCACCCCACCCAGAUGAUCUUUUUAAAUGCAAAAUGCCAUCGACGCAGAAAAUCAAAGAAUCAGCUUAAGUUCCAGAAAAAAGAAAAACCAACCAAAUGAACAAUAAGACAACAACAACAACAACAAAAAAGGCCUUUUGGGAUUUUGGAUGAUAUUGCAUCAAAUCCAUACAUUAACCUGAGAGACGAGCGACUUCUUCAACAUUGAGCCUUCCAAUCAUGAUUUUCAAUUCAUUUAGGUCUUCUGUAAUGUUUCUUAAUAUAAUUGUAUUUGUUGCUAUGCAGAAGUUUCACUGAUCUUUUAUUAUAUCUCUAUAUAUAUUUGAUAUUUCUGACACUAUUGUAAAUAGUAUCUUUUUAAUAUUUCAUUUUCCUUUUUUGUUGCUUAAAUAUAUAUAAAAUAAGCUAAUUUUCCAAACUAAUUUUUAUAUCCAGCAACCCUGCUAAAAUUUCUUAUCCAAUAAAAA